rnacentral:rRNA from 1 species
UUGGUUAAGUUAGAAAGGGCGCACGGUGGAUGCCUUGGCACUAGGAGCCGAAGAAGGACGGGACUAACACCGAUAUGCUUUGGGGAGCUGUACGUAAGCGUUGAUCCAGAGAUUUCCGAAUGGGGGAACCCACUAUCUUUAGUCGGAUAGUAUCCUUACGUGAAUACAUAGCGUAAGGAAGGCAGACCCAGGGAACUGAAACAUCUAAGUACCUGGAGGAAGAGAAAGAAAAAUCGAUUUCCUGAGUAGCGGCGAGCGAAACGGAAAGAGCCCAAACCAAGAAGCUUGCUUCUUGGGGUUGUAGGACACUCUAUACGGAGUUACAAAAGAAAGUUAUAAAUGAAGCGGUCUGGAAAGGCCCGCCAAAGACGGUAACAGCCCGGUAGUUGAAAUGGCUUUCCCUCCAGAGUGGAUCCUGAGUACGGCGGAACACGUGAAAUUCCGUCGGAAUCCGGGAGGACCAUCUCCCAAGGCUAAAUACUCCCUAGUGACCGAUAGUGAACCAGUACCGUGAGGGAAAGGUGAAAAGCACCCCGGAAGGGGAGUGAAACAGUUCCUGAAACCGUGUGCCUACAAGUAGUUAGAGCCCGUUAAUGGGUGAUAGCGUGCCUUUUGUAGAAUGAACCGGCGAGUUACGAUUUGUUGCAAGGUUAAGCGGAAAAAGCGGAGCCGUAGCGAAAGCGAGUCUGAAUAGGGCGCAUAAGUAACAGGUCGUAGACCCGAAACCAGGUGAUCUACCCAUGUCCAGGAUGAAGGUAAGGUAAUACUUACUGGAGGUCCGAACCCACGCACGUUGAAAAGUGCGGGGAUGAGGUGUGGGUAGCGGAGAAAUUCCAAUCGAACUUGGAGAUAGCUGGUUCUCUCCGAAAUAGCUUUAGGGCUAGCCUCGAGGUAAAGAGUCAUGGAGGUAGAGCACUGUUUGGACUAGGGGCCCUUCUCGGGUUACCGAAUUCAGAUAAACUCCGAAUGCCAUGUACUUAUACUCGGGAGUCAGACUGCGAGUGAUAAGAUCCGUAGUCGAAAGGGAAACAGCCCAGACCACCAGUUAAGGUCCCCAAAUAUAUGUUAAGUGGAAAAGGAUGUGGGGUUGCUUAGACAACCAGGAUGUUGGCUUAGAAGCAGCCACCAUUGAAAGAGUGCGUAAUAGCUCACUGGUCGAGUGACCCCGCGCCGAAAAUGUACCGGGGCUAAACAUAUUACCGAAACUGUGGAUGAACCUCUUCGGAGGUUCGUGGUAGGAGAGCGU